GCUGUAGUACUGCGGAGGACAUUACACUAUUAUGAUGCGGCCUGUAACCGCUCGGGGUUACAGCCUUGCUGAAUGUCCUUCCGUGUCUUUUGCGUGUUCUGGUUUGCUUGGUGGGUUCGCCCACCCCUAGGACAAACAUAAACCUUUUGUUUAUGUUUCAGCGUCAGUAAUUUUGAAUAAUUACUACUUUCUUCACGGAUCUCUUGGUUCUGGCAUCGAUGAUGACGCACGGAAAUGCGAUAAGUAGUGUGAAUUGUUAAUUAUUUGAAUCAUCCAAUCUUUGAACGAACAUUGCGCCCUUUGGUAGUCCUUAGGGAAUGCCUGUUCGAGCGACCUUUGUUCCCCCCUCCUUUGCUUGGGGUUGGGCGUCUUGUCUCUUCUUUUGCUGAAUACUCGCCUUAUUGUAAUUGAUUGCCGGCCUACUGGUUUCAGAGCGCAGCCCACCUCUCACUCUCUAUCGUUUAAGGUCUACCAUCAAUGAAGCCUUUUUUUCUUCUUUUGACCUCUGAUCAGGUAGGGAUACCCGCUGAACUUAUUCAUAUCAAACACCGGUAGGAAUACCCGCUGAACUUAAGCAUAUCAAUAAGCCCGGAGGAAA
rnacentral:rRNA from 1 species